rnacentral:lncRNA from 1 species
CUCCGCCGGCCGGCCGGUUCCCCCGCUGCCGGUACUCACUCACCCGGCUGCCCAGGCUCAUGGGGGAGAACGACGACGGCGGCGGCGAGGAGGAGGAGGAGGAGGAAGGCGAAAGCCUCGGCCUCGCCUCCUUCGCCUCCUGAGGGAAUGGCGAGGAAGAAGCGGGGAAACCGACGCGCCGACUCGGCCCGGCCUGGGCGCCCGCGGAAGAUUCUCUCGGCCCGGCCGCGGCCACGGCCAUGACUGGAAUCUUCACCAGUGCUUCCUCAAACUGCAAUCCUGUGAAUGUCUAUUCUGAACUGACUUUGAAAAUACUCUCGGCUAAAUAAGACUACCAGACUCAUCCAGGGGUGAAGAAAGAGGUUUGUCAAGAAAGAAACAGGUCAGUGACACAGAAAGAGACAAGGUAUAUAUGUAUAUUAACUAAAAUUACCAUGUAACUAAACAAUAAAAUGUGGAGUGGUGAUGCCA